GGGCGUUUGCGCAGCUAGCGAGCUUGCGUGGCUCCUCGCUUACAACGCAGGGGUCGGCGGUUCGAACCCGUCACCGCCCA
rnacentral:tRNA from 1 species